rnacentral:rRNA from 1 species
UACGAAGGGGGCUAGCGUUGUUCGGAAUCACUGGGCGUAAAGCGCACGUAGGCGGCUUUCUAAGUCAGGGGUGAAAUCCUGGAGCUCAACUCCAGAACUGCCUUUGAUACUGGAGAGCUCGAGUCCGGAAGAGGUGAGUGGAACUGCGAGUGUAGAGGUGAAAUUCGUAGAUAUUCGCAAGAACACCAGUGGCGAAGGCGGCUCACUGGUCCGGUACUGACGCUGAGGUGCGAAAGCGUGGGGAGCGAACAGG